UACAGAGGUCCCGAGCGUUGUUCGGAUUCACUGGGCGUAAAGGGUGCGUAGGUGGCGAGGUAAGUCGGAUGUGAAAGCUCGGAGCUCAACUCCGAAAUGGCAUUGGAAACUACCUUGCUCGAGGGUUGGAGGGGGGACUGGAAUACUUGGUGUAGCAGUGAAAUGCGUAGAUAUCAAGUGGAACACCAGUGGCGAAGGCGAGUCCCUGGACAACUCCUGACACUGAGGCACGAAGGCUAGGGGAGCGAACGGG
rnacentral:rRNA from 1 species